GAUGAAGAACGCAGCGAAAUGCGAUAAGCAAUGUGAAUUGCAGAAUUCAGUGAAUCAUCGAAUCUUUGAACGCACAUUGCGCCCGCCAGUAUUCUGGCGGGCAUGCCUGUUCGAGCGUCAUUUCAACCAUCAAGCCCCCGGCUUGUGUUGGGGACCUGCGGCUGCCGCAGGCCCUGAAAAGCAGUGGCGGGCUCGCUGUCACACCGAGCGUAGUAGCAUACAUCUCGCUCUGGGCGUGCUGCGGGUUCCGGCCGUUAAACCACCUUCAUAACCCAAGGUUGACCUCGGAUCAGGUAGGAAGACCCGCUGAACUUAAGCAUAUCAAUAAGCGGAGGA
rnacentral:misc_RNA from 1 species